rnacentral:rRNA from 1 species
UACGAAGGGGGCUAGCGUUGCUCGGAAUUACUGGGCGUAAAGCGCGCGUAGGCGGCUCUUUAAGUCGGGGGUGAAAUCCUGGAGCUCAACUCCAGAACUGCCUUCGAUACUGAAGAGCUUGAGUCCGGGAGAGGUGAGUGGAACUGCGAGUGUAGAGGUGAAAUGCGUAGAUAUCUGGAGGAACACCGGUGGCGAAGGCGGCAUCCUGGACCGGCAUUGACGCUGAGGCGCGAAAGCCAGGGGAGCAAACGGG